rnacentral:rRNA from 1 species
UACGGAGGGUCCAAGCGUUAUCCGGAAUCAUUGGGUUUAAAGGGUCCGUAGGCGGUUUUGUAAGUCAGUGGUGAAAGCCCAUCGCUCAACGGUGGAACGGCCAUUGAUACUGCAAGACUUGAAUUAUUGGGAAGUAACUAGAAUAUGUAGUGUAGCGGUGAAAUGCUUAGAGAUUACAUGGAAUACCAAUUGCGAAGGCAGGUUACUACCAAUAUAUUGACGCUGGUGGACGAAAGCGUGGGGAGCGAACAGG